rnacentral:rRNA from 1 species
AACGUAGGAGGCGAGCGUUAUCCGGAUUUACUGGGCGUAAAGCGUGCGUAGGCGGUCGAUCAAGUCGGACGUGAAAGCCCCUGGCUCAACUGGGGGAGGCCAUUCGAUACUGAUCGGCUUGAGGGUGAGAGAGGAAAGUGGAAUUCCCGGUGUAGCGGUGGAAUGCGUAGAGAUCGGGAGGAACACCAGUGGCGAAAGCGGCUUUCUGGCUCACCCCUGACGCUGAGUGCACGAAAGCGUGGGGAGCAAACGGG